rnacentral:rRNA from 1 species
CGGACGGGUGAGUAAUGUCUGGGAAACUGCCCGAUGGAGGGGGAUAACUACUGGAAACGGUAGCUAAUACCGCAUAAUGUCGCAAGACCAAAGAGGGGGACCUUCGGGCCUCUUGCCAUCGGAUGUGCCCAGAUGGGAUUAGCUAGUAGGUGGGGUAAAGGCUCACCUAGGCGACGAUCCCUAGCUGGUCUGAGAGGAUGACCAGCCACACUGGAACUGAGACACGGUCCAG